CCUUGCGGGAGCGAGCGCGUCCAGGAGCCCGCGGGCCGAGAAGCGCUGCGGGAAGGGAGACCCGCGCCUGCGGCUCAGGAUUCCAAGAUUGGAAAUAGUACACAGGACCUGGUACAACCCCUCUUUGUCUUCCAGAUAAGGAAAUUGACACUCGGCAAGAUUAUCUGUGGAACAUAAACAAUGGAUUCCUUGGACCAUAUGCUGACGGAUCCCCUGGAACUGGGUCCAUGUGGAGAUGGCCAUGGCACACGUAUUAUGGAGGACUGCCUCCUGGGGGGCACCAGGGUUAGUCUGCCUGAGGACCUUCUGGAGGAUCCCGAAAUAUUCUUUGAUGUAGUCAGCCUCUCAACAUGGCAGGAAGUAUUGAGUGAGUCUCAGCGUGAACACCUCCAGCAGUUUCUGCCUCACUUUCCUGAAGACAGUCUCGAGCAGCAGAAUCAGCUCGUCCUAGCCCUGUUCAGCGGGGAGAACUUCCGCUUUGGGAACCCUCUGCACAUUGCCCAGAAGCUUUUCCGAGAUGGACACUUUAACCCCGAGGUGGUUAAGUACCGGCAGCUGUGCUUCAAGUCCCAGUACAAGCGAUACCUCACCUCCCAGCAGCAGUAUUUCCAUAGGCUGCUGAAGCAGAUCCUGGCUUCCCGGAAUGACCUGCUGGAGAUGGCCCGACGGAGUGGCCCGGCCCUUCCCUUCCGCCAGAAGCGCCCUUCACCAUCCCGCACCCCUGAGGAGCGGGAGUGGCGGACCCAGCAGCGCUACUUGAAGGUCUUGAGGGAAGUGAAGGAGGAGUGUGGUGACACAGACCUGUCCUCUGAUGAAGAGGCCACGUUGGAUUUACAAGAAAAAUUUUCUUUUGAAGAUCUCAGCUCAUGGCUUCCGAGCUCUCCAGCGCGUUCUCCUAGCCCUGCGGUGCCCCUGAGGGUGGUGCCCACGCUUUCAACCACGGAUAUGAAAACUGCAGAUAAAAUAGAACUGGGGGACAGUGACCUGAAGAUAAUGUUAAAGAAGCACCAUGAGAAGCGGAAACAUCAACCAGAUCAUCCGGACCUUUUGACAGGGGACCUGACUCUCAAUGACAUCAUGACUCGAGUAAAUGCUGGCAGGAAGGGCUCUCUAGCAGCCCUAUAUGACUUGGCUGUCCUUAAAAAAAAGGUUAAGGAAAAAGAGGAGAAGAAGAAGAAGAAAAUAAAACUGAUCAAAUCAGAGGCAGAGGAUUUGGCUGAACCCUUAAGCAGUGCUGAUGGGAUCCCACCUCUCUCACAGGCCCCUUCUCCGCUGGCUAUACCUGCUAUCAAGGAGGAGCCUCUUGAAGAUCUCAAGCCUUGCCUUGGAAUCAAUGAAAUAUCUUCCAGUUUCUUCUCUUUGCUAUUAGAGAUCUUGUUGCUGGAGGGGCAGGCUAGCCUUCCUAUGCUGGAGGAACGGGUUUUGGAUUGGCAGUCCUCUCCAGCCAGCUCCCUCAAUAGCUGGUUCUCUGCGGCCCCCAACUGGGCAGAGUUGGUGUUACCAGCCCUGCAGUAUCUUGCUGGAGAAAGUCGUGCUGUACCUUCCAGUUUCUCUCCGUUUGUUGAAUUCAAAGAGAAAACCCAGCAGUGGAAAUUGCUUGGCCAGUCCCAAGAUAAUGAAAAGGAAUUAGCUGCACUCUUUCAACUAUGGCUAGAAACCAAAGACCAGGCUUUCUGUAAGCAAGAAAAUGAAGACAGCUCAGAUGCCACAACACCUGUUCCUCGGGUAAGAACUGACUAUGUGGUGCGGCCCAGCACGGGGGAGGAGAAACGAGUUUUUCAGGAACAGGAGCGUUACAGAUACAGCCAGCCCCAUAAGGCAUUCACCUUUCGCAUGCAUGGCUUUGAGUCUGUAGUGGGGCCUGUGAAGGGUGUUUUUGACAAGGAAACCUCGCUCAACAAGGCUCGGGAGCACUCCCUGCUGCGCUCUGACCGUCCUGCCUACGUUACCAUCCUGUCUCUUGUUCGAGAUGCUGCGGCCCGGCUGCCUAAUGGGGAAGGUACCAGGGCCGAGAUUUGUGAGCUGCUCAAGGACUCCCAGUUUCUGGCACCAGAUGUCACCAGCACUCAGGUGAACACAGUAGUGAGUGGAGCCCUGGAUCGGCUGCAUUAUGAAAAAGACCCGUGUGUGAAAUACGACAUUGGGCGAAAGCUGUGGAUCUACCUGCAUCGGGACCGGAGCGAGGAGGAAUUUGAGCGGAUUCACCAAGCACAAGCAGCUGCAGCUAAAGCCAGAAAAGCCCUUCAGCAAAAACCCAAGCCUCCAUCCAAGGUGAAGUCCGGUAGCAAGGAGAGUUCAUUGAAAGUCCUCAGCAGUGGCCCUUCUGAGCAGAGCCAGAUGAGCCUCAGUGACUCCAGCAUGCCUCCCACUCCAGUCACACCUGUGACCCCCACCACUCCAGCUCUACCUGCCACUCCGAUCUCCCCUCCUCCUGUGUCCUCGGUGAACAAAAGUGGCCCUACUCCUGUCUCAGAGCCAGCGAAAUCUAGCUCAGGUGUUCUUCUGGUGUCUUCACCCACAAUGCCACAGCUAGGAACAAUGCUCUCCCCGGCUUCCAGCCAGACUCCACCAAAUUCUCAGGCAGCCGCCCGUGUGGUGAGCCACUCUGGCUCGGCUGGACUGCCCCAGGUGCGGGUGGUGGCCCAGCCUGGCCUUCCUACUGCUACUCAGCAGUCAGCAGGGCCGACUCAGACACUGCCACAGAUGCCAGCAGGACCACAGAUGCGCGUUCCAGCCACUGCUACUCAGACCAAAGUUGUGCCACAGACAGUAAUGGCCACCGUGCCGGUCAAAGCUCAGACUGCGGCGGCCACUGUGCAGCGGCCUGGACCUGGGACAGGGCUCACGAUGACAAAUCUCCCUGCCACAGCCAGCCCCGCGAGCAAGCCAGCCACCAGUUCUCCUGGGAGCUCCACUCCGAGUGCUUCCACAGCUGCUGUCAUUCAGAAUGUCACAGGACAGAACAUUAUCAAGCAGGUGGCAAUCACUGGGCAGCUUGGUGUGAAGCCCCAGGCAGGCAGCAGCAUUCCACUCACAGCCACUAACUUCCGUAUCCAGGGUAAGGACGUAUUGCGUCUGCCACCCUCUUCCAUCACCACAGAUGCCAAAGGCCAGACGGUUCUGCGAAUCACUCCGGACAUGAUGGCCACGUUGGCCAAGUCCCAGGUUACCACAGUGAAACUGACCCAGGACCUCUUUGGGACGGGAAGCGGCACUGCGGGCAAAGGCAUUUCUGCCACCUUACACGUCACUUCUAAUCCAGUCCACGCGACGGAUAGCCCUGCCAAGGCCAGUUCGGCCAGUGCCCCUUCGUCCACUCCAACAGGUACCACCGUGGUUAAAGUGACUCCUGACCUCAAGCCAACAGAAGCCUCCAGUUCAGCUUUUCGCUUGAUGCCGGCACUUGGUGUGAGUGUGGCAGACCAGAAGGGGAAAAACACAGUGGCUUCUUCAGAAGCAAAACCAGCUGCCACGAUCCGCAUCGUGCAGGGCCUGGGCGUGAUGCCCCCCAAAGCAGGCCAGACCAUCACAGUUGCGACCCAUGCCAAGCAAGGGUCCUCAGUGGCCAGUGGGUCUGGAACUGUCCAUACAUCGGCGGUGUCCUUGCCCAGUAUGAAUGCUGCCGUGUCCAAGACUGUGGCCGUGGCCUCUGGGGCUGCAAGCACCCCCAUCAGCAUCGGGGCAGGAGCCUCUGCUGUGCGGCAGGUCCCUGUCAGCACCACAGUUGUUUCCACGUCCCAGGCUGGGAAGCUGCCUACGCGGAUCACAGUUCCUCUCUCUGUUAUUAGCCAGCCUAUGAAGGGCAAAAGUGUGGUCACGGCCCCCAUCAUCAAAGGCAACCUUGGAGCCAACCUCGGCGGGUUGGGCCGCAAUAUCAUCCUGACCACCAUGCCAGCGGGGACUAAGCUCAUUGCCGGCAACAAGCCGGUUAGUUUCCUCACUGCCCAGCAGUUGCAGCAGCUUCAGCAGCAAGGCCAGGCCACACAGGUGCGCAUCCAGACUGUCCCUGCAUCCCAUCUUCAACAGGGAACAGCUUCUGGUUCCUCCAAAGCAGUCUCCACUGUUGUUGUGACCACAGCUCCAUCUCCUAAACAGGCACCUGAACAGCAGUGAUUCAGAGAGAGAAAGAUGACGUCCGUGAAAGCACACACCCAGGCUGCCCUUCUGGCUUAAAGGAGGGGAGCAGGGAGGUUGUGUCGUCCUUCUCAGCUUGUCUGUUGAAGGGAAGGCCAGCAGUGGGAUGAUGGCAACAGUGGCGUGGAUUCUGCCACCACACUCCACAGUGGAGCAUGCUGAGAAAAGUCCCCUCCAGGCUCCAAGGGCUGUUCCGCUCCGAUCCAGGAGAAGUUCCUCUGUUUGGGGAUGAAGUCAUAGUUGUGCCACACGAGCCAUGGUUCUCUCCUGAGAGCCAGACACCGGGGGAAGGCUUACAGCUGCAGAGCGUGCAGACUGUCAGUAAGCCUCGUUCUCGAUGUGGAUUGUAUUUUUUUUUAGCUUCUGGUCUUCUCUGUGACUAGUGGUCUGGAUAGGAAUUUUAUGUCCAGAAAUUUUUACGUAACUUAUUUUUUUAAAGAACCUGUUGUAUGUCUUUAUCCAGUGGAAACCUGGGCUUUAUAAAGCCCCCACUCCCCACUGCCCCGAACUGAUUAUUCUCUUGACCAGAAUGGGAGAAUAGCAGGAUUCUCAGUGAGUUGGUGGCUGACUUGAGAGCUGCAUGGCAAUGGGGAGGCUGUCAGCUGGGUAAGAAACCAAGGGAGCGAGAUAAGUGAGAUAGCGUGGGUUCCCUGAAAUGGGAUUAGUUUGGCACUACGUCAUAAAGAUGAGGUAUCAGGAUCUUGACUGUGGUCCGUAUCUUCAUCUGCUGACUUUGUCCUCCUUGUCAGGCCUGUUCACACAGAAGUCCAGAGCCUGUGGACAGGAUAGGCAAGUGCCAGCAGACAUGCUGCUCUUGCGGCAUAGACUUUAUUGCAGUUCAGAGAUUAUAUGUUUUGCUUUGCUCCAGGGCAAGAGUCUGCAAACCACAGCCCUGGGGCUGGCUACCCGUUUUUGUAAAUAAAGUCUUAUUGGAACACAGCCCAUGGCCAUUUGCUUAUGUAUUAUCCUUGGCUGCUUGCAGUCAGGAGGCAGAACUGAGUAGUUGCCAUAGAGUCCAGAUGCUCCUCAGGCCUAAAAUGUCUCUUAUGUCCUCAGGCCCGUUAAGUAAAACUUUGCAGGCUUCUGCUCCAGAGUAGAGGCGGCAAGAGGAGAGAGUGAGUGGGUGUGCCCACUGGGCGGAUGAAGCAGCACAGUCACAGGAGAGGUCAGUCGGGGUUUACAAGUCCUUUAAUCCUGGCUGCCUCUCAUUUCUCAGCCUCCGUCAAGCUGUGGCAGAGCUCAGAACGGUAUUUUUAAAUGUAGUAAGUAAGUAAAGCACUGGUUGUUAACAAUAUAUGCCUCUUUUGUAUGGGAGCAGGGGUUGGAUGGCAAGGCUGUUCUGCAGUGUCAGGGCCUCUCUCUCUCGUUUCCAGAUUAUUAAAGAUGUGUCUUUAAUCUGGAAGUUCAGUGAUGAUCUUUUAUGGGGUCUGGUGAGGAAGUGGAGUUGAGGGGCAGAAGGUCCCAAUGGUGUAGUUUAGAGGGGUUGCAAGGUGGAAGCUGAGUGAUCAGGAAGAUUGCAGAGAAGGUCAGGGUGGCUUGUGGCUUUUGAGACCUUGCAUUUGAUUUUUAAAGCAGUUCUGUAAAUAGACAUCAUCACCCAUCUUCUAACUUCUCAUCUCUGGGAGAAGUGGUGAGUCUGAGUUGAGGUUAAAGAGAAAAAGACAUAAAUCCAGUCUUCUGAUUUUAAGUAUCCUUUCUUUUGCCUUCCUAGGGGAGGAUGGCUGUAUGUCAUGCUGAGCUGUGGGGACAGUUGGAGCUAGGGUGGUAAGCCCAAGGUACAGAGAGCUGAGGCGAAUUGGCGGAGAGGUGACUGAGCUUUUGCUAGUAGUGGGGGGCCAGCACAGAUGUCCCACUGGGAAGGGGGGAGAGGUAGGGACUGCCGUGAAGGAGAAAAAUGGCCUUUUAGCCGAGUGGAGGAGAGCAUGUCUGUGUUCUCCAGUACUUUGAUAUUUGCACAUCAUUGCUUCCUAGAGGCACAUUUCACAUGAAGAGUCCACGUGACAGUGUCUGAAUGAGAAAACGGUAGAAAUUUGAGGGAUCCUGUCUCAGGUAUUUAUUGUUGGUUAAAACAAACCCCUUCCGAAUUUACUUAACAAAGGAUUUCAUGAAGGUAGCUCUGGCAUUCAGCCCCAGCCCUUCACUGACUUUUCUUUACUGAAGUCACCUGGCUGUGCCUGUCUCUGAGUGCCUGCAGACAUUUGUCUGCAUGCUUGGGGAACAGGGAUGUUUCAGGAUGUUAGUGUAGGACUGACUCCCUGGUAAGUACGAUUUGGUACUGCCCAGCCUGUCAGUGGAGUACUGAGGAAUGGCAAGCCCCAGCUGGAGUUGUUGAAGUGACGUCACCAGCAUUUUCAUGCUGUGCAAUGUGGUUCUGUGCAUACAGACCACAGGGGUCUUGUAGAGAUGUGGUAGCGAUGGUGGCUGUUUUGGGGGGGGAGUAAGUCCAGAAGAACUCAUGGCAGCCACUGAGCCUCUGACGCUGAGGUUCAGAGGUUGGUAAAAGUGGUCAGACCACAUGUCUAAGACCGGAUUCAGUGAAUAGCAUUGUUUGUGAUGGGUUUGUAUUGUAAACGCAUCUAAGAAUGUUUUUCUCCAGGGUUGACCAAUUCCAUGAAGGUACCCCAAACUGCUGCUGUGAAAGGGAUUUUACAGUAAGUUUCAAUAUUGUAUAUCUGGUCUUCACACCUCAACUGCUUGCUCUGGAGAAAAUACUGCAUUUCCUUAGAGUGUGGUGCACUUCCCCCACCCUUCAAACCUAAAAUAGAGAUCUUUACUAUGAAAGUAAAACUGGGAAUAGGUUCCUUAUACCCACCUCCAGUCUCUAAAGAAAGAAUACGUUUUAAAUUAAUUGCUCAUAAUAGAUCCUUCAGUACUUGUUGAAUGAAAGUUUGGUUUCCUAGUUAGCAGGCCAAUGAAAGUAGACCCUGAAAGGGGACCACAGGUUCUCUUCUCAUUAACUAUAUUUUCAAGUAGCUCAUUCUUAACCUCUGACGUGUGACUUCAGCAUUGAAAGGCUGGCUAACCGUGGGAGGUCAGCUUUCACUUAAGUACAGCAUUUCUUCCAGAGAGCACCCGGUGCCUUGUGUAAAAGAUCUCUACCGCAUUUGUGGGAAGUAGCAGGAAGGAAGCCGGCUUCUGAGUCCUGAAGGCUGGCUUCCCAGCUUGGUAGCUGUGUGACCUUUGGCUAAUCAACUUCUCUGAAGAACCUAACGUGGCUUCCAUUACAGAUGGUUGUGUGAAUCAGGUGGGAUACAGUGCAUUUCAGAGUGUGGAAAGUGUUGUGCAAACCAACGGUACUUGGUCUGGAAGACCUUUCAGAGUUGGCCUAGGCCACUUUUAUCCGUUUGUAGAACUUUACCAACUCUCUAUGUUCCUUUGUGAUUUUGUGGCCUUUGUGCAUCCUAUUCUCUGUGCCUGGAACGUGCUUUUUUUUUUCCUACAGGGCAAACUCCCCAUCUUCUCCCCUCCCUUGUAGUUGUACUUACCCCUUAGGGCACCAGUCACCCUGUAUGUAAACACUUUCAUAUCUUCGCCAUUAGACUGAAUUCCUUGCUGGACAGGGAUCUCCUUAAUCCUUUCAACCAUUUCAGUGCUGGCGCAAAGUAGAUGUUUAAUAAAUAUUUGUUGAAGGAAGUUUUUUAAAAAAAAGAAAAAACCAGAUCCAGAACCAAGAUUAGACUGUCAGGACUUUAUAUUACUAGUUCAAGAGUCACAUCUUUUGCACGAUUCUUACGCUUUGCUUUCAGCUGUAUUGAAAUUCAAGGUCUUCGGCAACCUGCCAUUUUUCUACCUCAUUAUACACACUUCCUGUUAGUGUCUUCUUAUUAGAGUUCUUUUGAGGAGCCAGAACAUUUGCGUUCCAGCUCUCAGCUGGGCCACUGACUAGCUUUCUGAUUAACAAAACAAAACAAAACAAAAAAAUACGUUUGGCCCAACGUCGUGACUUAUCAGUGAUAUUACAGUACUCUGGAAUAUUAAUGGUAAAUUAGGAAAUGUUUAGUAACAUUUAAAGUACCAAAGUUUGUGAACUAUUUUACUUUAAGAAGUAUGUGGUAGAAUUGUAUCUUUAAAAUAAAGUCAGUCUCGUGUAUUUACUUUCUGAUAAGAAAGUACCUGAUUUCUUGAAAUUUGAAAAAGAGAGAAGUUAUCAAAAGCAGGAUGUUCUGCUGGAUUCCUAUCCCAGACUCAUCCCGUGGCCACUUCCUGUUCUCAAACUUUCAGAGUCUUUGAUUUCUCUUCAUACUGAGACAAAAAUAAAGGCUUGCGUCAGUUUUCUUUAUGAAGGAUACCACAGCAACACAAACUUUAGCCAAUUAAAUGAGAAAGUGCGAAUACAUAGAACUGUAAGAGCAGACCAAAGGAAGCAUUGAAAUGGAGGAGACAAGCUACACCUUUGCACACUCUAGCUGUUUGUGCUCAAAGGGACAUGUCCACCCCGCACUGAUGACGGGUAGCCUCCUCACUCUUCAUCUGAGCCAGUCAGGAGGGCCGUCUGCCUUCCAAUCUGUCAGAACUGCCUUUGAAACCUGAGUCUGUGAGGUUACUACGACCAGAAAGCCCUUCAGCCUUUCAAUGUCUCGCCCAUUUGCAGGUAUAGACUACCUUGCACAGAACUUGGCAAGUAUUUGGCACUCAUGAAGUGGUGGAAGUUAGCACUGGUUAGUUAUGAAAUGUGGGCCACUGGAAAUAAAAAUGCAGUGCAGUAGAUUUUGGGGACAAGGGGUUAGGAGAAAAAAGCUAGACAAAAGUUGUCUUCCUUUGGGCUUACCAGUAAACGAGAGAGUAGUUGAUGGCCACAAUGCAGAGGGCAGCCAUGUAGUGCCAGCAGAAACACAUGGUGAUGAACAUGAUGUUUGCUUCAUCUUUCUGGUCCCAUUCGGGUGCUCCAAACGGUGGGAACAGCACAAACCCGAUCUGGUGGGUAGUACAGAGAAGUCGGCCUUAGUUGGUUCUGAGAGGCACAAGCUUACGUCCUUCCCGUGCUGCCCAAGUUUCCAUGCAUUCCCAUUACCUCCUAUUUCUCAUACCUCCAUUAGCAUAGAAAAGGCCUUUUUGCAUAGGAGAACUGACCUGAGUCAAUUCUGGUUUUAGUAUGGGCUUAUUAAAAUGAAAUUUCAGGGCCCACAUUGCAAGUCAGCAGUUUAGCAAGUGGAGCUUGUAACAAACCAUAGAAAUGACCCCUGAAAGUACUGCAUGUGGAGCCCUGUGAAUGGGGUCAGCACCUCCACUGGGGAGGGAAGAUGGGGAAUUUCUUAAUAUGCUCGCUCUGUAUGCUCCGUGGAUUCUGCUUGUCGAUCCGUGAGCAAGGUAUUAAUGGGUAAAAUUAAGUCAUGGGGCGGACACGGGGAGACCAGUGGCCAUCUCAACCCAUUCACAUGGCAUGUCAGUGCUGCCCCUACAUGACUUCUCUUGGACAAACUCAGUGGGGCUCCCUGAAUCCACACAAUGUGAAGCGCACUGUUUUGAAAAAUUACCUGCCAGAACCAGGUGCCCUGAAGAAUAACAAGAGUGGUUCGGAAAAGUUGCAGCACAAUGUUGUCCCGGAGGAUCACCUCUAAGAAGAUGCUGAAAGUCCCUCCAAACAGUGCACACAGUAGGAGUGAGUGGAUGUGCUGGUCCAAGGGUGGUCGGUUAUGGACGUGGUAGUAGAAGAGAAAACCUGCACAAAGCCAUUUCAGCCAUCAGAGAUUUGCUGGUUUCUACUCCAUUGCUAGAAUGCCCUCUUACACCUAUCUCAAAGCGAGAUUUUUCAGCAGUUACAAAGUCAGUUUAUGUGACGUGGGGCAACAGACGCAGAUUAGAUUUAUUUUCUGUAUGAAGUGGAUAUAAGUUGCAAAGGAUGUGUCUUAAAAUCUCUUAAUCCGUGGUAGCUUCAAUACAGGAUGUGUAGGUGAAAAAUGUUGCUGAUUGGUGACAAAUUGUGUAGGUGUACUUGAAAUUCAGUUUUGCCCCGAUUCAACCUUUCUUCGUCUCUUCCUGGGGUACAGAAGUGAGGUUGUUGGAUUACAAAGUGCCUUCUCAUUACUCUGGUUAAUAUGAGUUAUAUUGGGAGAUCUGUCCUAGCUUCUGGGUGGGUCUCCUGAGGUUUGCAGUGGAGUCCAGGCAAGAACACUCCUGGGUGGGGGGUGGAGUGCAGUGUCUCUUCCCCCGGACAGAGGGAGUUCUCUGGCAUUGGUAGCAUCCAUCCAUGUUUUGGAGAGUUCUUACGUGUUUCAGUGUGCAUGUGCACUCAGGUACAUGAGUGUGAUGGGGGAGGGAGCAGGGAGAGGCUGUGUGCAGAGAGCCAGAGACCAGCUAAGAGCCUCAGGUUUUCAUGUGCUGUUUUAUGGGAUAUGUCACCUGUAUCAUCCAGAGCACAGGACCAAGUCCCAUUCAGGUUUUUGAAAUUCAGAGAUUUGGAUUUUCUGGGGAAAGUUAUUAUCUUUGCAGUACUUCUGGUCUUUAUAUUCUGGUCUGUUACAAACGCAAUUUGUCUGUCUCUUACUUUGUUAUUUUUUUCCAUCCCUACCCCUAAGUUACCUUCAGUGAAUACUGCCAUAGCCAUAACCAAUCUGUCCACCCCCAGGGGAACGUGGGUGACGAGAUAGGUGAGCAUGUCCACGAUUCCUGAGACUGCAAAGAACAGAUACAUGGUGCUGUGCUGCCAGUUCAUCAACUUCACCCAUUGGUUUUCAUGGUACAGGUGGAAGUAGGGCCCAUCUGGAACAAACUGCUCUGCCAGGAUCCCUGCAGGGAAGUGAGAGUGGAAAUUAAGGAGGGAAGUGUAGCUCCGGGGCAGAUGGGAAACAAAUGCCCCCAAGUCAUGAAUGAAGUCGAGAUGCGAGAUGCGGGUGAAAGCCUACUUUGCUCUCUCAGAUGCAGCUACUUGAGUAUAAAAGAAGGCAUUUGCUGAGGAGCCUGUGUAGACCUCUUGCCUUUGUUGUUUCUUUGGGGGUGGGGGUGCAGAGCAAGGAAGCAAUAGAAACAGCCACACAGGUCCCCAGGAUAUUUGUCCAGUGGCUGAGAUGAAGGCAAGGCAUCAUCACUUAUGUGAGGAUGUGGCUGGUAUGUUCAUCUCGGGGCUCAGUGAGCAGUGAAAGAAGUCGCGGAAAGGAACAAGUAGGUGGCAAAUAAUGGAAUCUGAGCAGAGACACGCUGGUGAUAAAGGUACCUGUGCACGCCUAAGGGGGAGAAGCAGCUGCCAGGUGUGUCUGUGAGGGCUGACUUUAAGUGCAUGGUUUUCCUGAGCACAGAGUGAGCACCUUCCUCUAGCUUUCAGUCUCUGUGCCCUAAACACUGGGAGAAGCAGGUGAGGGUCCCUUCACUGCGGUGUCAGGAGACGUAAGCCUUUGAGAUGGGGUAGCUCUCAGUUCUUGUCCCUUCUCUGUCUUUUGUUUAGGAAAGCAAAAGAUUGGCCUUUAUGCCUGGUGCCAUAACGUUCCUGGGGCCUCGAAUAAUUCUCCACGGCCACAUUCUGAACCCUGUUCUCCAAACUUUGUUUUGUUUUAAACCCAGCCCCUUCCUGAAUUUAUGCAUGAAGGAUCAAGGAAUUGGUGUAAACAAGCUGGGAGAAGGGAGGCCCACUGACACUAGAAUGGAAGUCCUGUGGCAGCAGGGACUGUUUGGUUCCCCCUUGU